GAUGAACGAUGGCGGCGUGCCUAAUACAUGCAAGUCGAGCGAACGGACGAGAAGCUUGCUUCUCUGAUGUUAGCGGCGGACGGGUGAGUAACACGUGGAUAACCUACCUAUAAGACUGGGAUAACUUCGGGAAACCGGAGCUAAUACCGGAUAAUAUUUUGAACCGCAUGGUUCAAAAGUGAAAGACGGUCUUGCUGUCACUUAUAGAUGGAUCCGCGCUGCAUUAGCUAGUUGGUAAGGUAACGGCUUACCAAGGCAACGAUGCAUAGCCGACCUGAGAGGGUGAUCGGCCACACUGGAACUGAGGCACGGUCCAGACUCCUACGGGAGGCAGCAGUAGGGAAUCUUCCGCAAUGGGCGAAAGCCUGACGGAGCAACGCCGCGUGAGUGAUGAAGGUCUUCGGAUCGUAAAACUCUGUUAUUAGGGAAGAACAUAUGUGUAAGUAACUGUGCACAUCUUGACGGUACCUAAUCAGAAAGCCACGGCUAACUACGUG
rnacentral:rRNA from 1 species